UAAUAGCUCUUUUUCAAAUAUUCCUUCAUGUCUUUAUGUUCACAUUUUAAAGUUGCACAUUUUUUACCUGAAAUAUCAAAGGCAAAUUUUUGGUGCCUGCAGAGUGGAGUUUGUGGCGGUUUGCAAAGGGCUUCUCGGAUUUCGACAAGAGAGAAUGCACAAUUGCAGAGGCACACACGGCUUCAGAUGAGUCUACAGAAGCAGGGUUGCAGGUAAAAUUUGGCGGUUACGGUUAUAGUUGUCUUUGCAUGCUGGUUUAAAGUGAAAGAUCGGGCAUAGGGUGGAGCGUCGGCCCUAAUUAAAAAUGGGGCAAAACCUUUUCAAAAUGCAAUGGUGGUUAGCAAAGAUUAUGUUGGUUACUAGGGACGCACCAAGUGUGAAAUUCAGAGCAAUAGUUGUAACAACGUGGUAUUGGAUCAGCUAUCAAAUAAACAACGGUCGGAGAUCAGUGGUGUCCCCUGAAUUUUCAUGCUCUCGUAGAAAAUAUCGUUACAAAAAGAAGAUAUAUUGUGCUUGGAACAGGCUCCGUGCAACUCAUCAAUGAUGCCAUUCAUAGCCUUUCACUCACAAAUGCUUCAAAUCUAGAAAUAGUUGCAGUUGUUGCGCCCUUUUGCAAUGGCUACAAAUUACAGACGAUAUUAUUUAACUCUGGACAAUUUGUGGAUAGGAGACAGGAGGGUUUUUACAAAAUGAACAAAAUGCUUCAAUUCAAUGGCAAUCAUCAAAUUUGUAACAUCUCUAAACAAUCCAGACACUCUUCUAGACGAAGUUGUUUUUAAAGGAAAGAAUGUAAAGACGGUUUACGAUCAUGUGUGUAGAGGCCUCAGUUCAUUGCAAUUUCUUGCCUGAUAGAUGAGGAUAUAAUGUUUUUCACACUUUCCAAACGUAUUGGACACGCAAGUAGCAGACUAGGGUAAAUUAUUUCAUUCAUCACAGUUUUUGCAGUUUCGUAACAUAUUGUUUAGUGUAGUGUUUUUCCUUUGCACGUAAAUACAUUGCAAAAAUGUGCAGUAAGCAGCAAAAAUUUCUAAGGAUUUCUAGUUAAGGGGUAUCUCUUUCCUUAAUUCGCCCAUGGAUUUGAUAGGGAACGGCUUGGAAUUGUUACACUUGCAUCUUCUUGGACAUUCGGAAAUAUUGCAUGCACCAAAUUAAAGGUUUUGGUUAAUUCUUUAUAUUAUUAAUUUUUCCUUGCAGAUAUGCAAGCAUUUCCUCUUAGGGUUGUGAUUAUGGCUCCAUAGAAACCCUCAUAAGGUUCUAACUUUGGCUGAAGUGGUCCCGAUUUCUUUGAACGAUUCUAUAAUCUUUGCAUUUGUUUAUUUCAAAUCUACAUAUAUCCUCCUUUUCUUUUUGUUGGUUUUUGGAAAAUUUGUUUGUUCACUUUAUGUAAUAGUGCUUCUUAUGUGAAUAUUUGAGAUGAAGACCCUCCUAGCAUGUUAUAAACGUCACAUAGAGUUUACUAAGGGCACACCUUCGAAUAUGUUGUUGGAAGGAAGCUGGGAUGCUACCAAAGCUUUUGAAACCAACUGGAUUGACAAGUUCAGCAAUUGGAACCGGCUAUGGCUCUCGAAUUGGAAGACUACAGAGGUGGUUUGCAAUAAACUUCAUUUUAUCCUAUUUGGUAUUGAUAUUCUUAUGGACGAUACAAGGGAAGUAGUUAUGUACCCAAAAGGGCACCGGAUUUUGUCUUUGAAUAUUGGCCUAGUUAUUGAUGAAGACCUUUGGGCUGCAGAGGAAGUUUCUAAAUUUGGACACCAAGCUACUUUGUUUUGCUUGAAGUAGAUACGUCCCAAGUAUAUAUAUUGCAUAGGUUCCAAGAAAAAAGACUUCAUACAAGAAAGAAAACCCUUAGAAGAAAUUAAGAAGAAAUGAUCUCUUAAAAUAACAAUACCAAGUUCUUGAGGUUUUGGAUUGCUCACAAGGUCAUGAUAUAGAGUUGAACAUCAGAGCAAGAUACACAAGAUUAUUUCUGCCAGUUAUGAGGAUAAUCAAUCACUAAGUGACUCCUCUUUUCACAAAAAUAUUUCUAAUACAAGGCUACAACACCUACUUUCAUUGGAAAUGGAGGAAGCAACAGAUAUUGCAAUAAGUUGGCCACCACAACAGAAGUGGGAGAAACCUAAUCCAUUAGUCCUAGAACAAAGGGCAAGUGCCAUAAUGGAAAACUUGUGCUCCAAAACCAUGUCAGUUAUUGAGCUAAAUAUGCCAUAUAUUUUGUUGUGUAUUUUUAAAAAGUGGCCUAUUGACAUUUUCUAUUUCAUUAGCCAUCUUAGAAUGUCAGAUCUACCAAAUACAUUGAAUUGUUAAGAUUAAGUUUACACGAUACAUUUAUCAAUCAUAUUUGAUUAUGAAUGACAUCGCCAUC